GUCUGAUUGGGAAUAAAAUAGGAGACUCAGGAGAGAAGCUGCUCUCUGCUCUUAAGGAUGAUAAACAUUACAAACUACAGGAACUCUGGUUCAGGUUUUGAUGAACAUCUGUGUGUGUGAUGAAGACUCUGGUGUUCCUGCAUUUCCAUGUUGGGGAACAGACAACACCAUUCAUAAACACGUCAGUCGUUUAGUUCUAACAAAUGAAAGAGACUUGGAGACGUGGUCAAUGUGUGUUCAUGGUGCACAGUGAAUCAGACUGCACACAAUUCUACACUGAAUGUGGAACAACUUGUGAUCUGCAUGAAACUGCCUGGACCUCAGUCCCUUAGAAACCCUGAAAGAGCAGGUGAAAAAGCACAGGGACUCGAGCUGAACCCAGUCAGUGGAAGAGGGAGCUGAAAUGGACAGGAACAGUUUCAGGACAUUUGGGGAGUUAAUCUGAGGAAGCCCCGAGGAGACUCACUACAAGGCGCAUUUAUCACUUUGUCCUUUGGUUGGUAUUUAAUAUACUCACUGAGCACUUUAUUAGGAACACCUGGAUGGCCCUGCCUUGUCGAUGAGAGGGUUCACCAGAGAACGGCCAGACUGGUUUGAGCUGACAGAAAGGCUACAGUAACUCAGAUAACCACUCUGUACAAUUGUGGUGAGCAGAAAAGCAUCUCAAAAUGCACAACACACUGAACACUGAGGUGGAUGACCAUGUUGGGUUCCACUUCUGUCAGCCAAGAACAGAAAGCUGAGGCUGCAGUGGGCACAGGAUCACCACAACUGGACCGGUGAAGAGUGAAAAAACGUAGCCUGGUCUGAUGAACCUCGAUUUCUGCUGAGGCUCACAGAUGGUGGCGUCAGAAUUUGGCACCAACAGCAUGAAUUAGUGUUCCUAAUAAAGUGCUCUGUGACUGUAGAUUAGAUCUUUUUGUUGUUACAGGAUCAGACCAAAGCUGUUCUUUAUUUUCUCUGAAAUCUGAUCCUGACUUUUUUUUUUGUUGCUUGUAUCAGCUGAUCAAAUCCAGUAUGGGAUCAGUGCCAUCCCUUGGACUGAAGCGUACACUACUUACAUCAUGUAGCACAAUCGUACCAGUCAAAUAGAUUUUAAAGAAAUUAAUAUAUAAAUACAGUGUGAUUAUUUUUGUUGGAGAAAAUUAAUGUAUUUUUUUAUUUUCUGCAAAAACAAUCAACAGUUAUUGAAAAAAUAAGUUUAUGCAUAACACAUGGGUGUUAGUACACAGAAAAAUGGAUUUCAAUCAAAAUAAAAUCACGAAAGUUUCA